CGUCAUGGAAACGCCGAUCAGUCGCAAACGCAGAAUUGAACAAGAUAGACGCAAAACACACGAUAUGGAAGAUUUGUUUGAGCCGGUCGUCAGAAUUGAACAGCUUAGAGAUCUGCAAGCAAAAUAUGCUCAGGAGGCGAGAGAAAAAGUAUAAAAAGAUAUCAAAAUAGAGAGAAAUCGUGGCAUAAGUUUCGAUGGUUAUGUUGCCGGUUUUGGUUUCGAUAAUUACUACACUUUGUGCAGAUCGGAGCAUUAUUUGAGAACAGGUAAUGAAUACUAGUAUACAGCACGUACAAAAUUCGACCAACUGUUGCCUUAUACUGGGUUAAAAAUCUACCCAGUGUUUGACGACAUAACCAGACAUAGCAUCGGCCACAUAACGCCACAAUCGCCGUCGCCGGUCAUCACUAGUAUUAACGAGAAACAAACACUCAGCUUUGAAGCCCUGUUGCUAGGAGACUGUCCGCAUGUCACCAUAGAAGAACUUCUUAGAGCUCCACUUGAGAUUUCAUCUGUUCCGGUUUCGGAGCUGGUGACAGAGAGAAACGCUUGAGUAUUGGAAAACGGUUCUGCUCUUGCCGGAUAUCUCGUCGACAACGACAGAGACAGACUCACAGAGAGAAUCCCAUAACUUCUCUCGAACCAAUCGCCUCAGUUUUGGACCAAUCGUCUGCAGCGGUCGACCAGAAAGGAACAAACUGCGGGAAUAUCAAUGAAAAGGUUUCCGAUGUGACCGAGUACGCCUUCUUUGACCCGAAACUUGUAACGGGAGACAACUCUGUGAAAGCGGCGAAGGUCAGCAAGAAGCCAAGCGUGGCGGCCAGGAUGGGCAACUGGCUUAGACGUUUGUUUUCCUGCACAAAGAAGUCUGAGUGCGUGGACUGAUGCCAUUAUUGUUAAAGAAAGCAAUUUUGUAUUGUUGAACGCGACGCAAAAGUUUUCAGGUAAAAUAAAUUAUAUGUUAGAACACAA